CUCAUGGCCGGCGGUGUUCCCCUCACGGCCGGCAUUGCUCCCCUCACGGCCGGCUCCGCUCCCCUCACGGCCGGGGCCGCUCCCCUCACGGCCGGGGCCGCUCCCCUCACGGCCGCGCUGCUCCCCUCACGGCCGGCGCCGCUUUGCUCCGCAUCGCUCCGAGGGGAUUUUUAUUGUCUUUUACUCUGUGGUUUUCUGAGAAGGCAGACUGUGUUGAUCACACCCGGAGAACGUCUCCUUUCCUUGGAUAUGAAGCAUGGCAGCCACUGUAGGACUCGGGUUUGACACUGCUGUCCUGCAGGGAUAAUGAGGAAUUUACCAAAGCAGAGCAACAGAUGCCUUCAGAGAUCUGAGUGUGAUUAGUUCCAUAAAUACGUAUUAUGAAAUCAUGGGCAGUGUUCUAAGUGUAAUGAAUUUCCCCUGAGGGAAAAUAUGCCUGAGUAAAGAAAUCAGAAAAUACUUGAUGCCAAAUGUAGAAUGGGAGGGAAUUACUAUGAGGCUGGAGUCUAUACACAAUUUUUUCUCAGUAGUCUUUUCCUUUGAAGACUCAGAUGAGGAGUUACUUAUCUUCAUUUUAUUAUCCACUAAUCUCCAAAAUCUGUAUCACUUUCCUAAAACACGCUGGCAUGUAUCAUGUGCAUAUAUAGCAUUCCCUGGGAGCCUUGUUACUGCUUUAUAGUCACUGCAGGUGAAUUUGUUUAUAAAAAGGCACGUACCUCCUUGAGACAGCAUGAGUAUAAGUCAGUAUUUGCUCCUGUGCUGAAAGUAGAUUUCUGAAUGUUAUAAUAUAAAUGAGAUGGAUUUUUUCCUACAAAAUUGUGAGACAAAGAACCCUGGAGGUGAAUUCCAGCAGUCCUCAUAAAGACUGUUUGUAAUAAAGUCUCACUUGUCAGACAUGGAGGGCCUUUAACAUCAUAUCUGGGGUAGCUGCUUGAGUUUGCAAAUUAGCCUUAAAGCUGCUGGCAUUUCUAUGGUGUGCAGCCUUUCCUCAAGAAAUCCUAGUGUAAAACCCACUGAAAAACUUGCCUAGACAGUCUUGUCUUUGUGUCAGUGUGUCCUGGCAGAAGGUGAUGAGUUAUUCCUGCAUCCCAAGGACCCGUGCUUGCAGGAGCAUCUGUUGGCAGCAGACAUAGCACAGAGGAGCUCAUGAAUUGCCCCAGUGUGAAAUCAGGUUAGAGGAGCACAAAGCUGUCUUAAAACCGCCUUGUGCCAGGAGUGGGUUCUGGUGGCCUCAGAGCCUGGGCUGAUAGCACUUUAUUCCAGCCAUUAUGUUCCAAAAUUUCAUUCUGGCAAAGGGUGGAGUCAGUCAGCUGAGAAAACUGUCCUCUGUUAUGUCCAUUCUGAUCUCCAUGAUUCUUUACUAUUCCA